GUGUGUAGGCGGUUGUUUAAGUUUGGUGUGAAAUCUCCCGGCUCAACUGGGAGGGUGCGCCGAAUACUGAAUGACUAGAGUGCGGGAGAGGAAAGUGGAAUUCCUGGUGUAGCGGUGAAAUGCGUAGAUAUCAGGAGGAACACCGGUGGUGUAGACGGCUUUCUGGACCGUAACUGACGCUGAAACACGAAAGCGUGGGUAGCAAACAGGAUUAGAUACCCUGGUAGUCCACGCCCUAAACGAUGCAUAUUUGGUGUGGGCAGUUCAUUCUGUCCGUGCCGGAGCUAACGCGUUAAAUAUGCCGCCUGGGGAGUACAGUCGCAAGGCUGAAACUCAAAGGAAUUGACGGGGGCCCGCACAAGCGGUGGAGCAUGUGGUUCAAUUCGACGCAACGCGAAGAACCUUACCUGGGCUCGAACGGCUGGUCAACGGAGGUGGAAACAUCUUUACCCCGCAAGGGGGUCCAGUCGAGGUGCUGCAUGGCUGUCGUCAGCUCGUGUCGUGAGAUGUUGGGUUAAGUCCCGCAACGAGCGCAACCCUUGUCCUGUGUU
rnacentral:rRNA from 1 species